rnacentral:lncRNA from 1 species
AAAUAUAUAUCAUAUAUCAUAUAUCCACUCACCAAAUUAUAUGAAAGCUAUAGUGCGAAUUGCAAAUCUUCGUCAUUUGGAGAGAGACCUAAAGAAAAUUGAGAAAAAAAACAGUAUCACUAUCACUAAUCCAACGUACCACUAUAAAUCCCAAUCAAUAAUAGAAAACCAAACGUUACAUUCUGAAUUUUUUUAUUUUGUUGUUUUUGUUUUGAUUUGUUUUGUGAAGUAAGAAGAUUUAGAAUCUCCACACAAAUGGCUCUCCAACAACAAACACAUUUUCUCACAAAGAAGAAAAAUCAAGAACCUUCUCAAGAUUUCAUUUUCCGAUCCAAACUUCCCGAUAUCUCCAUCCCCAAUCACCUUCCUCUCACUGAUUACGUCUUUCAAAGAUUCUCCGGCGACGGAGACGGCGAUUCUACCAAAACAUGUCUCAUCGACAGUGCCACCGGACGUAUCUUCACCUACGCCGAUGUACAAACCAAUUUCCGGCGAAUCGCCGCCGGGAUCCACCGGCUCGGAAUCCGCCACCGUGACACCGUGAUGCUCCUUCUCCCGAACUCGCCGGAGUUUGCUCUGAUUUUCCUUGCCCUAGCUCACCUAGGAGCCGUUUCCACCACCGCGAAUCCGUUAUACACACAGUCAGAGAUCGAAAAACAGGCAAAAGCCUCCGCAGCGAAGAUGAUCAUCACGAAACGAUGCUACGUGAAGAAACUAACAAACCUUCAAAACAACGGCGUUUUAAUCGUUUGCUUAGACGACGAAGACGAUGACGUUGAUGGUUGCGUGCGUUUCACGGAACUGAUACAAGCGGACGAAACAGAGCUUCCUAAACCGGAGAUUUCGCCGGAGGACACCGUGUCGAUACCGUACUCCUCCGGUACGACGGGGCUACCGAAGGGAGUGAUGAUUACUCACAAGGGAUUAGUGACGAGCAUCGCUCAGAAAGUCGACGGAGAAAACCCUAAUCUCAACUUCACCGGAGAUGACGUCAUCCUCUGUUUUCUCCCGAUGUUUCACACUUACACACUCAACUCGUUGAUUUUCUCGGCGAUGAGGACCGGUGCGGCGAUCUUGAUCGUGCCGAAGUUCGAGCUGAAUCUGGUGAUGGAGCUGAUUCAGAGGUACAAAGUCACGGUGGUUCCGGUGGCUCCUCCGGUGGUUUUAGCUUUCGUUAAAUCACCGGAGACGGAGAGAUACGAUCUGAGCUCGGUGAGGAUGAUGCUUUCAGGCGCAGCUACGCUAAAGAAGGAGCCUGAAGACGCCGUGCGUCUCAAGUUCCCCAAUGCCAUAUUCGGUCAGGUCAGUUUUAAUUAAUUUCCUCAGUACUUUAAUUUCACUCUUUUUUUUUUGAUAAGGUACUUUUUUUAUGGGCCUUUUUUUAUAAAGUACUUUCACUACUAUUUUGUUAUUUUCUUUUUCUAAUUAUUGAGAUCGACUAAUAAUUCUUGGAUGAAAAUCUGAGAAAUAUAAUUAUUAAGAUCUACUAAUAAUUCUUGGAUGAAAAUCCGAGAAAUGUAAUUAUUGAGAUCGAUUAAUAAUUCUUGGAUGAAAUUCCAAGAACUAUAAUUAUUGAGAUCGACUAAUAAUUCUUGGAAUAGGAAAUGCAAAGUUUAUCUGAUUUGAUUAGAUUACGUUACGUACAUGUAAUUCAUGUGGGACUUGAGAGUUAACGUGCGUUUGUCGUCAUAUAAAGAAAGUUAAAGAAGACAGUUAGUGGAAAAAAGCUUUUAGAUUUGUCGGUGGGGACUUGAGUAAGCAAAUGGUUUUUUUUUUUUUUAAUGUAUAGAUAGACACACUAACAAUCUCGUGGUCUAAAUAUAAUUAAGAAAUGGAUUCGUGAUUCACCAAAUCCAAACUUUAUUAUAACUAUGAGGGUUUGGUGUCGUGUUACCAUAUCUCGAUUAUGUAUCAUAAUGUUUUUUUUUAAUAUAAAUUUAUUGAUCAAUGAAAGAAGAGCUAUUUAUAAAAACGAUAGUUAAAUAGAAAGAAAGGAAAAACUUAUGAAUAAAUGAUUAGGAAUACCAAAACUGGUCAUGACGUCAGGAUUGGAACCACUGGUAACGAAGAAAGCUAACCCAUUUCGAAUCAUCUUGUAAAGAGUUUUCAGAUUAAAGCAAAAACCCAUGUUACGUCUUUGAGUCGACGAAAUGCCAAAACCCCUAUCAAAUAUUUAUUGGUAAUAGCGAUGUUAACAUGCCAACAUGACUAAAUAAAAUUUGAAUAUGAUCGUAUGAACACAUUUAUCACCUAUCGUUUUCAUUAUCUUGACUAUAUAUCGCAAUGAAUUAUUUGCACCGUUUAGUCCAUUACUGGGGACACAUUACUUGUCUCUUUGUAAAUCCAGAUCGGUCUCAUUUAUUAUUAUCUAUGUAUUGACAUUGAUUUGACCGAAAAAUAAAGAAAAAACUCCAGGAUUGACUUAUUAAUAGAUUGUGGGAUCAUACAAGAAAAUGUUAACAAUUCCUAUCAAAUUAAAUUCAAUUACGACGACCAAUUCAUAUGCCAAUGAACACUAUAUAUGUUCAAGCAAUGUCGUAACUGAUUAACUAAUUACAGUUUUUAGACUGAACUCUCUUAGAUGAUUUUGCUGACGUUUCUCAGUUCAUGUCUUCGCCAGUGGGGGUGUAUUAUAUUGAACAAAUUCAAAUGUUGUCAUUUUUAAUUUUUAAUAGUGACUUGAAAAGAAAAACACAUUUUCAGGGUUAUGGAAUGACCGAGGCAGGAACGGUGGCUAAGUCAUUGGCAUUUGCAAAGAACCCAUUUAAAACCAAGUCCGGUGCGUGCGGGACAGUGAUCAGAAACGCAGAGAUGAAAGUGGUCGAUAUCAUAUCCGGAGUCUCCUUACCUCGUAACAAAUCUGGCGAAAUCUGUAUCCGAGGCCAUCAACUCAUGAAAGGUAUUCAAAACGGUCAAUGUUCCUUUGUCUUUCUUUUUCCUUGGAAGCAGUUCUUGAUAGGAAAAAAAUAUGGUUGCGAUCUUGUUAGGUUAUUUGAAUGAUCCAGAGGCUACUUCGAGAACCAUAGACAAAGAUGGAUGGUUACACACAGGAGACAUUGGGUUUGUAGAUGAUGAUGAUGAGAUCUUCAUUGUUGAUCGUUUGAAAGAACUGAUCAAAUUCAAAGGCUAUCAAGUGGCACCAGCUGAGCUUGAAGCAUUGCUUAUUUCUCAUCCUUCUAUCGAGGAUGCUGCUGUUGUCCCGUGUGUAAAUGAAAAUCUUAAAAGUACUUUCGAUUUGAAAACUCUAUUAAUGUUUUUGUCAUUUUCUAAUGAUAUUUUGAUAUUUCAGAAUGAAAGAUGAAGUAGCUGGUGAGAUUCCUGUGGCGUUUGUAGUUCGAUCGAAAGGGUCUCGGCUAGUCGAAAAUGAUGUCAAGAGUUAUGUUAACAAAAAGGUGAGAUUCUGAGAUUUCUCUUUUGGUCUUCAAAAACGGCCUGGGAAACACAUAAGUUAAUAAUAUGGAUCCUUUAUAUGUCUUAAAUCAACUGUGUGAUGAUCUAUAUAUAGGUGGUUCACUACAAGAGAAUCAAGAGGGUGUUUUUCGUAGAAACUAUACCGAAGGCAGUUUCGGGAAAGCUUUUAAGAAAGGAACUCCGAGCUAAACUGUAAACCGAGUAUUCUUUAAAGAUUCAAGAGAAUUUCGAAUGUAUGCGUAAGCUCGAACAUUGAUGCCAGUAAAAAGUAAGUAUAGAGAGAGAUUAUUAAGUAUGAUAACGUCUUAACUUAUUUACCCUCAUUGAUCUUGUUUUAGUUAGGUUAUGCUUUCUAUACCCGUAUAAUAAUGUCUCAUGGAGACUGAUUCGUGUUUUAUCGAGUGUUUGGUGGUUUCUACAAGGGCGUGGAAGGAGCUCCAUAAUCGGAAUUAUUAUCAGGCAAAAAAAGUAGUUGCAAUUUUCAAAAAAAAAAAAAAACUAUACAUAAUGUAUAACUAGCUAAUUUCGAUACUCUAGAAUAUUCUAAAAGACAUAAAGACAUAUUCCCUAUCUGUUCUCACGAUGGAGUGGUGGCGUCUCGUCUAAAUUAAAACCACACUCUGAAAGUAUCAUGUAGAUGCUUUUGCACAUCUUUGUACCAAGCACAUGAUCUCCAAUACACUGAAGCAAUUUCAAAUGCUUUAUGAUACUCUUUUUUGUAAAAUACACACAAAAAAAUAAAAAGAAAAAAUCCAGUAAACUAAGUGAUUAAACAAGUACUAUUUUGUUUUUUUUUUUUUCGUUUUUAAACAUUUUUUUCCAGCUAGUUCAGUCUAGAGGAUUAUGAAGCAGAAACACACCCGCUAAACAGAUGAUCGUAUAUGUAAAAACCUUUUGUUCAUGUUCAUGGCCACAUUACAAACAAAAAGCAUAAUUAAGUAGCCUUUUUUGUGUGUGAAUGCAUGCUCCAGAAUCACCAAGAACCUGAGGUGGACAUUUGUAUUAGAUUCCUUUAUUAUACUAAGACAUCAAGGCUAGACGCUUAUACAAGAAGAAAAUAGUUGAAAAACUGAGGUUUUCAUGCAUGAGCAAAAUUGAAACAAAUUAAAUGAUAAUUUUCUGAAUUCUACCAAUUGCAAGAAAAUCACAUGCUUUUCUUCAGUGUGUGUGUGUGUAUGUGUGUGUGAAUUAGAGUUAACGAAGUGUUCGUCACAGACUCCAUUCCUAAAGCUCCAUCGAGGAAUAUAUUGUGGAAGGAGCUGAGAGCGAGACUAGCAAAUGGAUUUUGACGGAAGGAAUUCAAGUCAAAACGAUCAAAUGUGUACGUAAUCUUAUCAGACCAAAAAAAAGAAAUCGUUGAUGGGCAAUUAAGUAAAGAAAGGACAACAUGUUACCAUACUAUAGUAUGACCUAAAGGUAAAAUAUAGAUCAACGGUUGUCUCCCACUCAAAUAGCAUUCACCAAAAAAUGAAUAAUCAUCUUAAACUAUUGGAAAAAAGGCUGGAGUGUCAAAGACUAGAGACGAUUACAGAUAGAAUAGAAUCCACUUAUCAUGAAUUCGUAAUAAAUCAAGAUGUCAAAAUACAAAAAAAAAAAAAAAAAAAACUGCAUAGAAUCUAGCCAAGGUAAGGAAGGUGCCAACUGUGACCACAUCUAUGGGAAUGGAUGUAAAAGAAACUACUGUAGAAUGAUCGAUCCAAAAUGUUUAGAAUAUUUAUUGAAUAUUUUACCUGUAAUUGUAAUCUAUUUAAAAUAAUUAUAUUAUUAUUCACAUUUUAAUUAAUUGUACCCAUGUAGAAUUAUUUUAUUGAUAUAACCACAUAGAUAUGUACUCGUGCUCUUAAUUUCUCAAUUUCAUACACAUACACACACACAUAUAUAUAUAUAUAUAGAUAUUAUAUAUACAGUAUUUUUUUGACCGAUUUUGAUCACUGUACAGUUAUUUUCUCUUGGGGCUAAUUUUAAAUUGUCCCUAACAGCAAUACAAUAAUAUCCAUUCCUAUCAAACAAACAAGAAAGCAAAGACUAUUGAUCAUGAACAUGCAAUAUUAUCCUUUAAUUGAAGCAGAAUUCACAAUCAUCUGCUAAAUGUAUUUUAUUUCGUACAAAGCUUAGUGACACGUUUUGUAAAAUAAUGAAGAAAGAACCAAUUUUAAUACUCUAUAAAAAUCAAAUUACUUUGUUUUAUAGCUAUGUUUUAUUGUUUUAUAACUACUUUAAAAAUAAAACAAAAAUUUAAUUUUAAAAAUUUCAAAAAUUAGGUGUUCAUAACAUAUAAUAAAUAAUCAAAAGUAAUUUUCUUUUAGUAAUGACAAUUGUGGCGCAAAAGGAGCAGUGAAACUGGCCCACUCACCAACUACAAAGCAAUAGCUUAUAGACAAUAUCAUUAAGAAAAAUCGAAUAAGAAGGAAAUAAAUCAAUAAUGAAUCAUUACCAAUCCAAAACGUACCAUUAUAAAAACCCAAUCAAACAAAAUCGAAAAGCAAACGUUACAUUUUGAGAAGAAAGUUUGUUUUCUCUUUUUUUCUUGCUUUCGUGAAGUAGAAUCUCCACACAAAUGGUGCUCCAACAACAAACACAUUUUCUCACAAAGAAGACAAAUCAAGAACCUUCUCAAGAUUUCAUUUUCCGAUCCAAACUUCCCGAUAUCUCCAUCCCCAAUCACCUUCCUCUCACCGAUUACGUCUUCCAAAGAUUCUCCGGCGACGGAGACGGCGACUCUACCAAAACUUGUCUCAUCGACAGUGCCACCGGACGUAUCUUUACCUACGCCGAUGUACAAACCAAUUUCCGGCGAAUCGCCGCCGGGAUCCACCGGCUCGGAAUCCGCCACUGUGACACCGUGAUGCUCCUUCUCCCGAACUCGCCGGAGU